GGAGAGGUGCCUGAGUGGUUGAAAGGGGCGGUCUCGAAAACCGUUAUACCCGCAAGGGUAUCGAGAGUUCGAAUCUCUCCCUCUCCG
rnacentral:tRNA from 1 species